AUACGUAGGUGGCAAGCGUUGUCCGGAUUUACUGGGCGUAAAGAGCGCGCAGGCGGCCAAGUAAGUCGAAUGUGAAAGCCCCCGGCUCAACUGGGGAAGGUCAUUCGAUACUGUUUGGCUUGAAGAUAGGAGAGGGAAGUGGAAUUUCAGGUGUAGUGGUGAAAUGCGUAGAUAUCUGAAGGAACACCAGUGGCGAAGGCGACUUUCUGGCCUAUUCUUGACGCUGAGGCGCGAAAGCUAGAGAGCGAACGGGAUUAGAAACCCCGGUAGUCC
rnacentral:rRNA from 1 species